rnacentral:rRNA from 1 species
GAUGAACGCUGGCGGCGUGCCUAAUACAUGCAAGUCGAGCGAAUGGAUUAAGAGCUUGCUCUUAUGAAGUUAGAGGCGGACGGGUGAGUAACACGUGGGUAACCUGCCCAUAAGACUGGGAUAACUCCGGGAAACCGGGGCUAAUACCGGAUAACAUUUUGAACCGCAUGGUUCGAAAUUGAAAGGCGGCUUCGGCUGUCACUUAUGGAUGGACCCGCGUCGCAUUAGCUAGUUGGCGAGGUAACGGCUCACCAAGGCAACGAUGCGUAGCCGACCUGAGAGGGUGAUCGGCCACACUGGGACUGAGACACGGCCCAGACUCCUACGGGAGGCAGCAGUGGGGAAUCUUCCGCAAUGGACGAAAGUCUGACGGAGCAACGCCGCGUGAGUGAUGAAGGCUUUCGGGUCGUAAAACUCUGUUGUUAGGGAAGAACAAGUGCUAGUUGAACAAGCUGGCACCUUGACGGUACCUAACCAGAAAGCCACGGCUAACUACGUGCCAGCAGCCGCGGUAA